CCGUCUGCCAGGAAAAUCCUCUAAGGAGAGUUAGGUAACUGUACCACAAACGGACACACGUGGACGAGAUGAGUAUUCUCAGGCGCUCGGGUGAUGAGUUGUUAAGGAACUAGGCAAAUUAACCCCGUAACUUCGGGAGAAGGGGUGCCCACGCAAGUGGGCCGCAGUGAAUAGCGUCAGGCGACUGUUUAACAAAAACACAGGUCUCUGCUAAGUCGAAAACGAUGUAUAGGGGCUGACGCCUGCCCGGUGCCGGAAGGUUAAAGGGAGUGGUUAGCGCAAGCGAAGCUACGAACUGAAGCCCCGGUGAACGGCGGCCGUAACAAUAACGGUCCUAAGGUAGCAAAAUUCCUUGUCGGGUAAGUUCCGACCUGCACGAAUGGCGUAACGAUCUGACGACUGUCUCAACAACUCGCCCGGCGAAUUUGUGGUUCCGGUGAAGACGCCGGAUGCCCGCCACAAGACGGAAAGACCCCGUGCACCUUUACUAUACCCUAUCAGUGAAUUAUGGGUUGAACUGCGCAGGAUAGGUGGGAGGCUUUGAGAUCGGGUUUUUGGACUCGAUGGAGCCAAUGGUGAGAUACCACCCUGUUCAAUCUGUGAUUCUAACCUGCUUCCAUGAUCUGGAAGAGGGACACUGGUAGGCGGGUAGUUUGACUGGGGCGGUCGCCUCCUAAAUUGUAACGGAGGCGCUCGAAGCUGCGUUCAGGUGGUUUGGAAAUCCACCGUCGAGUGCAAAGGCAUAAACGCGGUUAACUGCGAGACCUACAAGUCAAGCAGGUGGGAAACCAGGACUUAGUGAUCCGGUGAUUCUGUAUGGAAGGGUCAUCGCUCAACGGAUAAAAGGUACGCCGGGGAUAACAGGCUGAUCGGAGUCAAGAGUUCACAUCGACGCUCCGGUUUGGCACCUCGAUGUCGGUUCAUCGCAUCCCGGGGGUGUAGAAGCUCCCAAGGGUUAGGCUGUUCGCCUAUUAAAGCGGUACGUGAACUGGGUUCAGAACGUCGCGAGACAGUUCGGUCCCUAUCUGUGGUGGGCGCAGGAAAUUUGAGGGGGCUUGGCCUUAGUACGAGAGGACCGGGCUGAACGAACCUCUUGUGAUACAGUUGUCACUCCAGUGGCACAGCUGUGUAGCGAAGUUCGGUUAGGAUAAGCGCUGAAUGCAUAUAAGUGCGAAACCUUCCCCAAGAUGAGAUUUCCCAACCGUAAGGUAAUAAGGGCCGUGGAAGACUACCACGUUGAUAGGACGGGUGUGUAAGAGUAGUAAUACUUUGAGCUAACCGUUACUAAUAGCCCGUUCGGCUUGACC
rnacentral:rRNA from 1 species